CUUGGUUUUGGUAUCAGGGUGACGGUGGCUUCAUAGAAUGAGUUUGGAAGUAUUCCUUCCUUUUUAGUUUUUUAGAAUCGUUUCAGGAGGAUAGGUAUUAACUUUUUUCUCUGAAUGUUUGGUAGCAUUCACCUGUCAAGUCAUCUGGUCCUGGACUUUUUUGUUUGCUGAGAGUAUUAAAAUUACUGAUUCAGUUUCAGCACUGGUAAUUGGUCUGUUCAUAUUUUCUCAUUCUUCCUGACUCAGCCUUGGAAGAUUGUACCUAAGAAUUUGUCCAUUUUCCUAAUAGGUGGUCCAUUUUGUUGCCAUGUAGUUGCUCGUGAUAAUUUCUUAUGAUCCUUUGUAUUUCUGUAACUUCUCCUUUUUCACGUCUGACUUUAUUGAUUUGGGGGCCCUCCCUUUUUUUCUUGAUGAAUCUGACUAAAGGUUUAUCACUUUUCUUUAUCUUUUCAAAGAACCAGCUUUUAGUUUGAUUGAUCUCUUCUACUUUUUUAGUCUCUAUUUCCUUUAUUUCUGUUGUUUAUAUUUUCUAAUUUUUUGUUAAAAAUGUCUGAUUUCUUGCCCUGUGCAUCCGUUGUCCUCCGGAGUUCAUUGAUCAUCCUUAUGGUCAUUACUCUGUACUGGGGUUUAGUUUUGUUUCUUUGUCUAAAACCUUGCUGUGUCACCUCAUUUUGUCUAUAUUUCAGUUUCUAUUUUUAUGGACGUGGUGGGUUGGUUAUGUCUCACAACCAUGGAGAAGCCUCUGUUGGAAUCUUCUUGGGCUUCCCAGCAGUGCACUCCUUUCUUGUCACUCGAGGGCUGGGGUCAGCUAGUCUCAGGGUCUUUAGGCAGCCUGCUUGCUGAUGGGUAGGGCAGUGUCCCCACCCAGUUUGUUUUUUGGCCUAGGGUGUCCCAGUACUGGAUCCUAUAGGCUGUUAGGUGGGGUCAGUUCCUGGUAUCAAGCUGUCAGCCUCCAGGAGGGCUCACAUAGAGGAGUGUGCCCUAAUAUAUCUGCCACUAGUGCGUCCCUAGGUUGAGCCACUGCUGCCCCCUGCCUUCCCAGGAGCCACGCCAAGACCAGCGGGUAGGUCUGGCUCGGUUCCUAUCAAAUCAGGGCUCUGCCCUUUGUCCCAGUGUAUGUGAGGUGUCAUCUUUAAGAGUGAAGUGUCAAUUUCCCCCAGUUCUGUGAAUAUCCUGCAGUCAAGCCCUACUGGCCUUCACAGCUAAAUGCUCAGGGGGCUCCUCUUCCUGGUGCUGGACCCCCAGGCUGGAGCUCAGAACUCUCACUCCUAUCGGAGAGCCUCUGUAAUGCAAUUAUUCUCCCAGGUGUGAUUGCCCACCUUGGGGUAUGGGAUUUGAUUGUAUUGUGAGUCUGCUCUUCCUACCAGUCUUGUUGUAGUUCCUUCUUUAUGUCUUUAGUUUAGAAGAUCUUUCUUGGUGGGUGUCAGUCUUUUUCAGUGAUGGUGGUUCUGCAGAAGACUGCGAUGUUGGUGUGCUCGCGAGCUUAGGGUCCUUCCCUGCCGUCUUGGCCCGACUCUCUGUGGUGCACAUUUAACACACCUGUACUCACCUCUGCUUGGGGCAUGUGAAUGGCUGAUUGCUCUUUUGCAGGCAGUAUGAUCGUGUGUUUCUGUGUAUGUUACUUUUGUGGAGGGUAAAAGUGGUCCCUCACAGUUUAGCAAAUCUCCAAAAUUCCUGACGGGAAUGUCCGUGAAAAUACGGCGACUGAUCUCAUGCCAGAAAUGCCUUUUAUUGUAUGUGGCAAAAUGGUCUUAUGUACAUAUUAUUUUAUUCACAAAGAGAAGUCAUACUUUCCCCGAAAGGUGAGAGGUAUGGUACACAUCAGAGAUUUUCUUCCUGAAAGGGAAACCUUUCUUCAUUGCUUUACAACUAAAUCAUAGGAACUUACAUAUACAGUGAUUGCUUUUUGAUCACUAGAACGUCUUUUUUCAUAGUUCUUUUGUGUCAUUGCAGUGUUGGGCUCCUUUUUAUGAGACAAUAAAGAGUGUAAAAUGGAUGCCCGGUCAGUGGUUCCCAAGGAUAGGGCAGCUUGGUGUGGCCAGACAGGUGAAAACUCGAUUUGGAAGCACAUUCUUCUUCCUGAUGGAAAUCACCAACAUCAGUUUUUCCUCCGCCCCACAGUCACCAGGUUUCGUUUUCUUUUUGUAGGAAUGUGCUGUAGGAGAAUUUUCUACAUUGUUUUGAAUUGUAUCAGGUCCAGAGAGAAUUAGCGAGACAGGGAGCUCUCCCUCAAAUUUCCUCUGACCAGGUGGCCGAGAGCAUCCUUUAGGGUAUGGUGUGCUGGGGUUUGUUGCGCUCAUGUGCAUCUCUGUAGAGAGUCAAGUCUGGGCUUCUUCCCUUGAGGUUUUGUGUAACUGUGGACACUUUAACGACUGAAUGCCGGUGAGAUGGCAGUAGACGUUUGGGCUCUGGCUGCACAUGAGGCAGCCAAACUGAGGAGGAGUAAAUAAGGUAGGUGGGAAAUUGAAGGCUUCUGAAGACAGGUUCUUAUCGUUCCUGCAGUGCAGUGGGACCUGGGGAUAAAACUGACCCAGAACUCAAUGCCACAGAUGCAGCCACUGGUUUAGUCUUCUUAUCCUGUAACAUCCUUACUGUUUAUUUCCUUCUUGGUUAUUCCAUCAGCUUCAGAUGAAGAAAGAACAGCAGAGCCCAUUACUUACAGAAUACAGUUUUAUUUAACCUUCUUGAAGGUAUGUUAAGAUCAUUUUGUAUAAAUCUUCCAGAUACUGGCAUUUUCAUUUCCAAUUUUUUCCUGUAGGUUCAAGGUCUUGCAAUUUAAAAAACUUUGAAAAGAAUCUUUAAGUAUGUGUUCAAGAAUUUUUUAACAGUUUGAUUGCAUCUUCCCUAGGUAUACGUCCUUCAUUUUGCAUCUCAGAAACUUGUGCCUUUGUUCUCCAGGAGCCACAUUGUCAGUGAAUGUUGAACUUACGGUGGACUGUUGACAAACAGUUGUCUCUCAUUUUGAAAGUUGUUUUAAUUUUUCAAAAAUAUAAACACAUGAGCUGUUUGUUUUUUCAGCUUGCUUUAAAAAAGGAAAAUGUAAAUAGAAUCCUGCAAAUAUUAUACCAGAGAGGUUACCUUGUGUGGUGGCUGGGUUGUGGGUAUGUUCUGAGGUGGAGACCCUGCUGGCUUUGGGUUGUACUCCGGUGCAACCCUGCAGAAGGCUGACCCUAACAGGCUGCAGCUGCUCUCUUCCCGGAACAUUUAUCUGGGUCACCAGAAAAUUAAGAAUCUUACACAGAGAAUCUCUGCAGGAACAUUAUUAAGUAAAAGACUUUGUCUCAGAGGCCAAAGGUGAGGAUAGGUUUCUUUUCUGUUUUUUUUUUUUUUUUUUUUUUUUAAAUGAAAACUUAAGCUUUGUUGCUAAUGGGCCUCCUCUGUGCAUAGCUUUAGGAAACAGCUCUGUCAUCAAGUGAGACAUCUCAGGGAAAGCAGCUUUGCAUUUUUCAUUUUGUUUUUGUCACUAGCUGUGUUCAUUAAAAUACUUACAUUUUUUAUUUUUUUAAUUUCCUCAAUACCUUUUUUUUUCUGCUGUGCAGCCUGGUGACCCAGUUACACAUACAUGUAUACAUUCUAUUUUCUCCCAUUAUCAUGCUCCAUUAUAAGUGACUAGACAUAGUUCCCAGUGCCACACAGCAGGAUCUCAUUGCUAAUCCAUUCCAGAGGCAAUAGUCUGCAUCUAUUAUCCCAAGCUCCUGGAUUAGGAAGAUGUAGUAUAUAUACACAAUGGAAUACUACUCAGCCAUAAAAAAGAACAAAAUAAUGCCAUUUGCAGCAACAUGGAUGGAACUAGAGACUCUCAUACUGAGUAAAACACUUUUAAGAACACUGAUUUCUGGUUUGAAAAAAAAUCACUCGUGUGGAACUGGUAGCACUUGUGUGGAGUGUUAAAGGGCAGUGUUCCACAAGGCUCUGUCAAAGUCUUGGUGUUUGUACCCCUAGGUGUAUGUGCCUUGUAGGUAUGCAUAUGUACCAUGUGUGUGUGGCACAUGUGUGUUUGUAUACUAUGUGGGUGUUGUAUGUCCAUAGGUACCAUGCAUACAUUGUACACGUGUGUCUGUACCAUGUACAUGUGUAUUAUACUUGCACAUGUAAAUUUAGCCAAGGAAGGGAAGGAACUGGCAGUGGUAAAUGUAAGACUUUGAAACUCAGGAAGGCAAAAUAAAUGGGAAGAUAAAGUGUGUUCAUGGAUCAGGAGAAUUAAUAUUGUGCAUAUGUGUGCACAUUUGUAUGUAUGCACAGAUACCAUAACCACUCUGCACAUAUGUGGCCUGUAUAUUAUAUAUGUGUUUAUGCAUGUACAUUGUAUGUAUAACAUAUACUACAUGCACACAUGUGUAUGUGUACAUUGUGUGCAUUUACACUGUAUAUAUGCUAUAAAAAUACACUAUAUGUGUAUAUGUGUGCAUUACAUAUAUUUCAUACAUGCACUAUAUGUAUAUAUAUACAUACAUUCUAUGCAUGUAUGAUGUGCAUAUACUCUGUAUGUACAUAGUGUAUACAUUAUGGUUAAUGUUAGUGCAUAUGUUCAUUGUGUGUAUGCAUGUAUACAUGCCAUAGAUGCUGUGUAUCCAUGCUGCAUUAUAUAUGUAUGAACACUGUGUGUAAACUACGUGUGUAUCCACUGUAAGGAUAUAUAUGGCUGUUUCUCUGUAUGUGUGGACACACUAUGCAUGUGCUGUAUAUGUGCAUACACUCUGUAUAUGUCUGCAUAAUAUGUAUAUAUGAACACUAAACUAUAUGUGUAUCCACCGUAAGGAUAUAUAUGGCUAUAUUAUGUGUGCACAUGUAACUAUCUUUGUAUGUGUGGACACUCUGUGCAUGUGCUGUAUAUGUGCGUACACUCUCUAUAUGUCUGCACAGUAUGUAGUGUCAGGAAUACAGCUCCAGCAGGGCUCCAGCGCAUGACCAUUUGGCUGGCUUGGGGAGAGUAAUGUGUGAAACACUCGUUCCGGAUCGCAUAGUAUACGAAAUUUGGCAAGUUAAUGGGCCUUUGCAAUGAUGUAGGGACCAAACACUUCACUGAUGGAUGUGUGUGUGUUCACUUAAUCAUCAUAACAGCCCUGUGAAGUAGGUUUUAUCUCCAGAUGAGGACUGAGAUUUACUGGUGACUUGUGUAAGGAAAGGAAACUUAAAAGUAAUGGUAGCAUCAUGUCAACUAUCUUUUCUUCAUUUACUUUCUUAUCACAACCUUUGUUAGCAUUUAACUAACAACCUGGAAGUUGCCACUCAUCAGGAAAUAGGAUCAUCUUCCAACUGUUUAUAUUUAUUCAAAGAGUAGUGACUGCUGUUUUCCUGUCACUGUGUAGCAAAAUGCCAUUAAUGUUGCCAGUGUGAGCAGUUCAAAAUAAACACAGUAUCACUCUUAAAAUUGAAAAUGAACAUAAGUUCAUUUUUUAGGUAUUGUUUGGAAGGAUAAGAAAAAAGACAUUUAAGAUGAAAGGAGGGUUUCUUUGCCAUUUCUUUGGGAAUUUCCUUUUGGUGGAUUAUUGCUAGAAUAUUCUUUUUUUUUUUUUUCUUCCCCUCAGGGUUCUGCUUUUGGUGAAACGAAAGUAGUUAAAGUCUUUGGGUUUUGUCUCAGCCAAGUUCAGCUUACUAAUUACUACAGUAAAUCACAUAAAAUUACAUACUAGUUAAUAUAAGUACCUGGAAGGCAGGAGUUGGUUUUAUACUUUUUGUAGCUACAGCACUAAUGGCUGCAAACUGUUCCUCUGGCCAUUCCUAGACAAACCUUCACAGGGUUAUGUGCCAAGCAUGGUAUUAGUUCCAGAGGAUACAAAAAUGAAUUCAAGCUUUAAUUUGUGAAGCUCUCACCACACUUGGAGAGCACGUUGACAACUGGUGUGACAAAGUGUAAAAAACAGGUGUUCAGACUGUUUUGGGCAUGUAGAAAAUGGAAUUGACUUGAUGUGAUAAAAUUUUCGAAUUUACUUUUGUGUUUAUUCUACUGAUAAUCCUGAUGCUUUCUUUUUAACCUUAAAGAUUGUUGUUAAUCACUGAUGAAUUGGUAAGCAACUCUGUGUGUGUUCUAAAUCUAGUGAUGCGUUCAUUAACUGGAGACCAUUCACCUCGAUGGGGACAGUAAUAUGUCAAAAGACGGCCCAGUUCCACGCCAUCGAAGGGUCGUUAAAUACCACCGGGUGCAUCCUUGCUGGGAUUUGCUCAGGUGGGAAAUGGCAGCAUUUCGUCUUUUGCUGAUAGGUGCACUCAGGGUGCGGGAGUGAGCAGUUCAAAUUUAGAUGU
rnacentral:lncRNA from 1 species